rnacentral:ncRNA from 1 species
CUCCCGCUUUCUUUACUACGGAUCGUCCGGCACGUACCUGCCGGUGAAGGAGAACAGAU